CGCGGACAGAGAGAGAUCUUUCACCGAUGGUGGAAAAGCUAACGCGACAGUAGCAGCGUUUUGUGGAGACAUUCGGAGAUUUGAUAUCGAGAGAUUCAAGGCUGUGAACCCUCGUGAGCUGGAAUUCCCCUUGCUGCGCGUGGGCUUAGCAUGGUUGUUUUCAUUGUGAGGUCGCCGGGUUGCUUCUGGACGGCGGGUCAGAACGUCAGCCAUCCGUCAGACGCUUUAGAAAGCAGAGUGGCUCCAGAUGGGAUCCGUCACGCCGAGGCUGUUUGCUUCAACCA